rnacentral:rRNA from 1 species
CUCAGAGCGAACGCUGGCGGCAGGCUUAACACAUGCAAGUCGAACGCCCCGCAAGGGGAGUGGCAGACGGGUGAGGAACACGUGCGAACAUACCUUUUUGUUUCGCAAUAACUCAGGGAAACUUGAGCUAAUACCGGAUAAGCCCUAACGGGCAAAGAUUUCUCGCCGAAAGAUUGGCCCGCGUCCGAUUACCUAGUUGGUGAGGUAAUGGCUCACAAAGGCGACGCUCGGUACCUGGUCUGAGAGGAUGAUCACCCACUCUGGGACUGAGACACGGCCCAGACUCCUACGCGAGGCAGCAGUGUGGAAUAUUGGACAAUGGGCGCAAGCCUGAUCCUGCCAUGCCGCGUGAGUGAUGAAGGCCGUAGGGUAGUAAAGCUCUUUCGACGGGGACGAUAAUGACGGUACCCGUAUAAGAAGCCCCGGCUAACUUCGUGCCAGCAGCCGCGGUAAUAAGAAGGGGGCCAGCGUUGCUCGGAAUCACUGGGCGUAAAGCGCACGUAGGCGGACUUUUAAGUCGGAGGUGAAAUCCCAAGGCUCAACCUCGGAACUGCAUUCGAUACUGGAAGUCUCGAGUCCGGAAGAGGUGAGUGGAACUCCGAGUGUAGAGGUGAAAUUCGUAGAUAUUCGGAAGAACACCAGUGGCGAAGGCGGCUCACUGGUCCGGUAC